AACGUGGACGGAAAGGCGAAGUGUCUCCUAACCUGUGGACAUCUUCUUCAUCGUCUUAUUUAACACUUACCAAAAAGCCACCACAGGUAAGUCUGGAUGGAGCGCAUCAAGGAUCCAAUAUAGACAGCGAUACAUUAUUUCGAAUGGGCUACAGCCUACUGCAACAAGCUUUCCUGGCGCCGCAGUACAGUGAUACAAGAAGAGUACAACAUGAUAGCCUAUUUGGAACUCUGAAACUUCCGUUUUUUUUCUGUGCUUGCCUCACGUUGAGCCUCACGUACAAUACCUGAAGAUGAAGUUUUGUUCGUUCGGCUCGCGUUAAGCAGGUACAGAUUUGCUUCAUAUCUGAAAACGGAAAUAAUGGAAAGUUCUAAAAACAAAAUAAACAAUACAAAAAUCCUCAAUUAAGAUAAAGUCAGUUUAUAUUGUGUGCAUUAGCCUAUAUGUUAACGUACCUAUGAGGCAAUUCAUUUGUUGGAAGCUGUUGGAAAAAGAAUUCAUAGCAUAUGUUGCUAUUUGUGUAGUUACUUUACUUGAUUUUGUUAUAAUAUUCUAAUAAAACCCUGUUAUGUAAAAUCAA